GAUGAACGCUGGCGGCGUGCCUAAUACAUGCAAGUCGAGCGAACAGACGAGGAGCUUGCUCCUCUGACGUUAGCGGCGGACGGGUGAGUAACACGUGGAUAACCUACCUAUAAGACUGGGAUAACUUCGGGAAACCGGAGCUAAUACCGGAUAACAUGUUGAACCGCAUGGUUCAACAGUGAAAGACGGUCUUGCUGUCGCUUAUAGAUGGAUCCGCGCCGCAUUAGCUAGUUGGUAAGGUAACGGCUUACCAAGGCAACGAUGCGUAGCCGACCUGAGAGGGUGAUCGGCCACACUGGAACUGAGACACGGUCCAGACUCCUACGGGAGGCAGCAGUAGGGAAUCUUCGGCAAUGGGCGAAAGCCUGACGGAGCAACGCCGCGUGAGUGAAGAAGGUCUUCGGAUCGUAAAACUCUGUUAUUAGUGAAGAACAAAUGUGUAAGUAACUAUGCACGUCUUGACGGUACCGAAUCAGAAAGCCACGGCUAACUACGUG
rnacentral:rRNA from 1 species